AACGAACGCUGGCGGCAGGCUUAACACAUGCAAGUCGAGCGCCCCGCAAGGGGAGCGGCAGACGGGUGAGUAACGCGUGGGGAUCUGCCUAGUGGUUCGGAACAACACGGGGAAACUCGUGCUAAUACCGUAUAAGUCCUUAGGGAGAAAGAUUUAUCGCCAUUAGAUGAACCCGCGUCUGAUUAGCUAGUUGGUGAGGUAACGGCUCACCAAGGCGACGAUCAGUAGCUGGUCUGAGAGGAUGAUCAGCCACACUGGGACUGAGACACGGCCCAGACCCCAACGGGGGGCAGCGGUGGGGAAUAUUGGACAAGGGGCGCAAGCCUGAUCCAGCCAUGCCGGGUGGGUGAGGAGGGCCUUGGGUUUGUAAAGCUCUUUCGCUGGGGAAGAUAAUGACGGUACCCAGAGAAGAAGCCCCGGCUAACUUCGUGCCAGCCGCCGCCGUAA
rnacentral:rRNA from 1 species